rnacentral:misc_RNA from 1 species
AAUUAAGCCAAUUUAAUUGUUCCAGGAUAAGAAUGGUUUCACAGUGCAAUAAACCCCCAGUCCUUCCCCCUACACCUCCCCUCUCCCCAUCCUUACCUCCGCUCUCCCCCUCCCCACCUCCCCUCUCCCCCUCCCCACCUCCCCUACCUCCUAAACCGGCAAAUACAGAUCUAAUCUUCGAUCUAGAAAAAGUCAGGUUGGGAAAAUGGAAAAGAAUGCAGACAGAAGAACAGCAACGCCUGAGAGGAUUAAGCCGGAGCCCCACCCCACCCUGUCGUCCUCCAAAACCCCUAAUUCUCAAAAUUGGAGACAACAUCUCACUCUCUGCAGAUUUCCAGGAUUUGACCGUUAUCCCUGACAACUUCAAGAAUGAUAAAGGAAACUUCAAUCCAAAAACAUCUUUCCAGUUACGCUGCGGUUGCAGAACAUCUACCAGUAGACCGUUGUGGAUACCAGACUCAGUUAAACCUAAUCAAGAUAUAAAAAUUCUUGAUCAGGAGAAGAAAAAGAUAAAAACAGGAGUUGACGUCAGGAAAGUUAAAACAGGAGUUGAUGUCAGGAAAAUUAAAACAGGAGUUGAUGUCAAGAAGAUUGACCAAACAGUUACAGGAAGUUCAAGAAGACUGCAGAUUGAUGAUGAGAAUAACAAGGUUCCCUCUGCAGAUUUAUCAAACAUUAACUUCAAUAAUAUCCAUCCAGACCUUGAAAGUCUCAAAGAGGAGAAAAUAGGGGUUAAUGAUAAAAACAUUGAAAAUGAGUCUGAGAGGUUGAAAAGAUUAAGCUUUGCCUCCUCCUCCUCCUCAUUGGAUCUAUCCACUACUUCAUCAAUAACUAUUCAAGGUUCAAGUAAUGAAACCCUGUUUGAUGUUUUCCAAGAUAAUUCUCAAGCUCAUCUUCAAGAAACUAAACUGGAGGAGAUUAAUCCUGCUUCAAAAAUAAACCUUUCCACUCCCUUGAGAUUGAAAUGUUCGAAUAAAAAUACCGAGAGCAGUUCAAAUUGUCGGAAUAAGAAUAAAAAGAAAAAGGAACUUUUGGCGGCAAUAUGGCGACGUGUUGAUUUCUGGCGAUGUAGAAAACUUGAAAUCGACAGAGAAAUUAAGGAAAAUGAAGAAAUAAGACAAGACAUUGAAUAUAAGUUGCAAGGAUUGGCGAGGACUAGUGAGAGUAUAAAGUUUUGUAGUUUAGUUCAAGAUAUUGAUAGAAUAACUAAACUGAUGCUUAUCCUCUCAGGUUGUCUGGCGCGGUUAGAGAAUAAUCUCUACUAUUGUGUUGAAGCUGAUAUUAGUAUUAUAUCAAGGAAGAAGGAGAAAAUACUUCAACAAAUUGAGGAUGCGCGGCAUUUAGAAAGUUUUGUUGAAAGAAGAGCAUCCGAAGUUUGUCAACUAGUGGAAAAAUAUCUUCAGUCUGCUGAUAUUGUUAAAUAUAGGAGGUUUUUGAGUAACAAGACGAGACUUAUAGUCGAGGGAAGAGAAACAGAGGAGAGAGUUAGAUUAGCUCUGCAGCAGAUCAAUAUAAUACAAGGGUAUACUAUAAACAGAGGAGAGGGUUAGAUUAGCUCUGCAGCAGAUCAAUAUAAUACAAGGGUAUACUCUAAACAGAGGAGAGAGUUAGAUUAGCUCUGCAGCAGAUCAAUAUAAUACAAGGGUAUACUAUAAACAGAGGAGAGAGAUUUA